rnacentral:lncRNA from 1 species
CCUAAACGACGCAAUUUAAAAUAAAAUAAAAACUUUGGCAAAGGGUAAAGUCUACAAAACUUAGACCACUCUGUUCGUAACAGAUUUUUAGUUUUGUGAACCGAACCUUUGAUUUCAAAUGUUUCAUCGAUGAAAGUUUGCAGAAUGUCGGUAAAAAUCCAUCUCGUUCCAUUUUCUCCCACUGCCGGCCACUGGGCUUCAUCUGAGUGGAAACGCAAAGCGGAUGCUUCAUAUUGAUACAUCCGGCAAGAUAUCAGUCUCAUUGUUCUGUGACAUAAACUUGAAGUCCAUUAAAAAAUCAGUACGGACCUUGAACAAAGAAGUAAGCAGGACAACGCGCAGCUCAACGAGCCAAUAGUAGCCGAGUUUAAUUUUGCGUAACUGAACGCGCCAAUCAUAGACUAGUCAGGGGCUGGUACCUACCGUGCGCCCGUUUUGACUCGCGACUGUAAAGGAGAAUGAAGAGCAUCCAAUUACAUUUUAUGCGACAAUGUCAACAGGAUCCCAAGGAGGCCAGUGAUCUUGUCGAUACUGAUUUUGCCGAGCCACCAACACAAGAUUCGGCUAGCAGUAGCCUUAACACUGCCACCGGCUUUGCCCCCGUUUCGCCAACCACUGCCGGUGGGAAACAAUACAAAUACAACGCACAGUGGGAGAAAGCUUUCCCGUGGUUGCAUUUUGAAGGAAAUGUUUUUAACUUUCCGGCGUAACGUUUUACCUCACCUCUCAAGAUGACAACUCCACAGUAUGACUUGUCACACACCCUCCCUCCCCACACGCUGACCCGGCUGGCACGGGAGUGGCUGGCAGAGGACACACCGAACUUUGACCCUGCAGGGCUGUGUGUGGGGUCACAUGAGGUCGAGGCCAGGUUGUUGUGUAAAACGCCGUGCAGCAUGCUGGCAGGCAGGCCUUUCUUCACUGAGCUCAGCUGCACUGUGGAAUGGGCACACAGAGGGAGCACAGCUGGGUCCAGAUGCGGUGGCCCAGACUGCUGUGGUCAGAGGCCCAGCAAGGUGUAUCCUCCUCGGGGAGAGACCGGCCCUCCACUGCCUGGCCCGGGCCUCGGGGAUAGCCACCCGCUGCUCCCAGCUACAGAGCAUCGCCAGGGAGGCAGGCUGGCAUGGCCAUGUGGCUGGCACGCGUAAAACCACCCCUGGGUUCCGGCUGGUGGAGAAGUAUGCCAUGUUGGUGGGCGGCUUGUCCAUGCACAGACAGGAUCUGAGUGGGAUGGUGAUGCUGAAAGACAAUCAUAUAUGGGCAUCAGGGAGUAUCACACAGGCAGUGAGGGACGCCCGCUCGGUGUGUGGCUUCAGCAGUAAGAUUGAGGUGGAGUGCGGCAGCCGUGAGGAGGGCAGUGAGGCGGCCACGGCAGGAGCCGACAUUGUCAUGCUGGACAACUUUAAGCCACAGGAACUCCAUGCAGCAGCCCAGCUUCUGAAGGAGGAGUUCCCUUUUGUGCUAAUCGAGGCCAGUGGAGGGGUGACCUCAGACUCCCUGCCCCAGUAUUUCUCCCCCCAUGUGGACAUCAUCUCUCUGGGCUGCAUCACCCAGGGCUGCCCAGUGGUAGACUUCUCCCUCAAGGUUCAAAAGCCUGUUGCCUUUCCAAUUAUUUUCCAAUUAAAGUAACUUUGGCAAUUCAGGAUUUUUGUUAAUAAAGUGAAAAUAAAAAGCAACGGUCAAUUUCCUCACUUUUCAUCCAGGAGAUGAUCAAGAGAAAAAAAAAUCCAGAAAUGUUACGUGAGAUUUAAAACUAUGACAUUCAGAGAUGACUGUAUAAUUUCUAUGCUGCGUACAACUAAUUUAGAAAUCAUUAAAACUGUGAAGACUGUUCCCUCAGUUUGUUUUGUCCCAAAGUGAUCAUCUAUUAUAUGGGAUAUUCUUUAGAAUCCCAAAUCUUUAUGAUCCACCGGGAGAAAAGAUGACAAAUUAGUAACUAAGUCACUAUACUGUUAAAGCUUCAUAUGGAUUAAAACACACUGCACUUCCACCACUAAAAGUGCCAUCACCUGUUAAAUGAAUAAACCAGAUAUCAGUAUUCAAAACACUUAAGUUAAACAUGCAUAAAAUCGCCAUCAUUGAGUUUACAUUAUAUAGGCCUAAUAACAUCAUGCCCAAACCGCGUCCGCAAAUUGAUUUUCUCCCCCUACACCAAACGCGAUCAGGACACGCAGGUUGAAAUAUAAAAACAAACUCUGAAGAAAUUAUAUUAAUUUGUGGACAGGUCAAAAAGCAUUAAACAUUUAUGGCAAUUUAGGUAGAUAGCUUUCUGUUGCUAGCUAAUUUGUCCUGGGUUGUUAUUUUACCUGAAAUGCACAAGGUCCUCUACUCCGACAAUUAAUCCACAGAUAAAACGAUCAACCGAAUCGUUUCUAGUCAUCUCUCCUCCUUCCAGGCUUCUUUUUCUUUGGACUUUAUAUGGCGAUUGGCAUCUAACUUUCAUAAUAAGGUGUAUUACCACAGCUGACCAACCAACCGACCUCAGGUCAUCUUUCAAUCACCCACGUGGGUAUAACCAAUGAGGAGGUGGCACGUGGAUUUAUGCUUCUAUAAACCAAUGAGAAGAUGGUAGAAGUAGGACUUGCACCGCGUUCAGCGUCACAAAUAGAACUGAUUUCUAUUUUAGGGUUUGGCAUCGCAGACGCUCGUUGGCACAAUGAUUGAAUAACCUGUAUGUGUACAUUUAUUUUGCAAUGCGAUGUGGUCAGCAUGUAACUGUGAAACAAGUUUCAGUUUUGAUUAUGGUUAACGUGUACCAUUUCCCUGAUAUGACGUGGGUGGCUAGGGCAUAAGGUUUCAGGAAAUCAGUUCCAUUUAGGAAGAGAUUAUCUGCCAUUAUAACCAGAGUUCUUUCAAGACAUGUUCCUUUUUGCCAGCUUCAUUACAGAAACACCAAGAAGCUCCAAUUGACUAGACCUAGAGGAAAGCGUGCUAUGGUAAUCUGAGGUGGCUAGCAAAUGUAAAAUGAACGGUUAAAAACGAAAGUACAGGAAGUAUUAUGUGAUUGAUACUGAAGGCUCUAUUCAAUCUGUAUCGCUGAAGUGUUACAAAUAGAGUAAAUUCCUAUUGUGAUGACAUCUGCAGCGUUUACCAUGAAUGCAGUCUACGCCAACGCUGGAACAAUGCUUUUAAAUUUGAUGUAACACUGAAUUUACGCGAUAGGGAUUGAAAUGACACUAUCGGCUGAAAAGCCACCAAAGACCGGCUCGAGUGCCACUGUCAGUUAAGUCGUCUUCUGUCAAGUAUACUUUCAUUAAUUUUCACACAAAGAAGAUAGCAUAUUUUGUGCAUUUGUCAGACAGUCACAAUCGGUCAUUUAAUGUUAAUGACAGGAUAUGACUGCAUGCAUCAAAGCAUUUGGGCCAAAAGUCUACAACCCAUUAAUUUGAGAAACCAAGUCCCCAGGAUUAUGAAAAGAGAGACAACACUUUCCCAGGGACAAUUGAGAAAAGGAACAGGAUUGAUCAAGAAAUGGGAGUGACCUGCUGCCAUGAAGAGGAACUCAAUGAGGAAAUGGACUGGAAUUAUGAAGUGACAGAUGGUGUUUCCCCUGCAGCAAAGGACAAUGUGGAUGGAGAUUUUACAGAUCUCAUCAAAAACUUCCACCAUCUGAACAUGUAUGGAGAUGAGAAGAUGGACUGGGUUGAUCAGGAAAUUGGAGUGACCUGCUGUCAGGAGGAGGACCACAAUGAGGAAAUGGACUGGAUCACCUCAAGAAAUCCCAGCUUCUGCAUCUGGAGAGAAAGAAAAGAUGAGGAAGACAGCCUUUAAAUGAAGACAGCCUUUAAAUGAAGACAGACUUUAAAUGAAGACAGCCUUUAAAAUCUUCAUUAGCUACCCAUCUGUUGGGUGGCUUGGUCAUCAAAACAUUGGCGUAGUUCACACUCCUGUUGUACAACGCAUCUCACACAUCAGCUGUGAUACACUUUAAGGAUCCUUUAAAUGGGUUUGUCUCCAUACAAACAAAUUGGCAAUAGUUGUGUAAAGAUCAGUUGUAUCACCUCAGUGUGAACUAGGCCACUGUAGCCUAAAUAUGGCAUUGGUACCCUCUUAGGGUUUUGUAAAUACUGUACAGUAGGAUAUAUGGUUAUACAAUCUAGACUGACAUGUAAAUAUGUUGAGUAUCUAUUUAUUUUCUCACUCAUCUGUCGUUUGUUGGCCUCUUUAAUAUUCUGGUAAGUGGUAUAGGUGUAGCCAAAGAGGCUUUAGUAAGUGUAGAUGUAGAUGUUGAUAUAUACACUGAGUGUACAAAACAUUAAGAACACCUGUUUGUAUCAAGAACUUCAACGCUGCUGGGUAUUUCCAUGCAAAAAAAUGUCCCGUGUGUAUCAAGAAUGGUCCACCGCCCCAAACGACAUUCAGCCAAGUUGACACAGCUGUUGGAAGCAUUGGAGUCAACAUGGGCUAGCAUCUCUGUGGAAUGCUUUCGACGCCUUAUAGAGUCCAUGCCCCGAUUAAUUGACGGUGUUCUGAGGGCAAAACGGGGGAACUCAAUAUUAGGAAUGUGUCCCUAUUGUUUUGUACACUCAGUGUAAAUAUUACCCCACAGCAUUCACUCUUCCCAUUAGUCCUUGGAUGUAUUUUUGUGUAGCUAAUUCUCCUCAGAAAAGUACAUCUGCUGUCUAUUUGUUUGUAAAUAUUUAUGUGUUCAGUGUCUUGUCUCCUUGUCAAAUGAGUGUCUGUCAAUUUAGUUGUAUUUCUGUAUCACAUUAAGUUAUCCUUCGAACAGGGAAAGGGUGGUGCCUAGUGGGGGUGGAGGGGUAAAAUAAAUCAACACAAACUAUGAAGUACUGAUAUUCA